rnacentral:rRNA from 1 species
AUAUAAGUAAGCGGAGGAAAAGAAACUAACUAGGAUUCCCCCAGUAAUGGCGAAUGAACAGGGAAGAGCUCAAUGCCCAAUCGUUGUCUUCGACAGCGACAUGUGGUUUGGGUGGGUGACCGGCAGUGUUCUCGGUGAAAGUCUCCUGGAAUGGAGCACCAAGGAGGGUGACAGUCCCGUUCAUCACUGAGAUAACUUUGCGUACGGUCCUCGCUAAAUGAGUCGCGUUCUUUGGGAUAAGAGCGCUAAAGGGUGGUAAGUUCCAUCUAAAGCUAAAUAUGACCACGAGACCGAUAGCGCACAAGUA